AUUUCAAUAGUUAUUUUAAUAGCAUAGGGCUGUAAAUCCUAAGGUGGGUAUUCCUUGUUUUA
rnacentral:tRNA from 1 species